UGGGGAAUAUUGGACAAUGGGCGAAAGCCUGAUCCAGCCAUGCCGCGUGUGUGAAGAAGGUCUUCGGAUUGUAAAGCACUUUAAGCUGGGAGGAAGGGCAGUAAGCGAAUACCUUGCUGUUUUGACGUUACCGACAGAAUAAGCACCGGCUAACUCUGUGCCAGCAGCCGCGGUAAUACAGAGGGUGCAAGCGUUAAUCGGAAUUACUGGGCGUAAAGCGCGCGUAGGUGGUUCGUUAAGUUGAAUGUGAAAGCCCCGGGCUCACCCUGGGAACUGCAUCCAAAACUGGCGAGCUAGAGGAGGGCAGAGGGUGGUGGAAUUUCCUGUGUAGCGGUGAAAUGCGUAGAUAUAGGAAGGAACACCAGUGGCGAAGGCGACCACCUGGGCUCAUACUGACACUGAGGUGCGAAAGCGUGGGGAGCAAACAGG
rnacentral:rRNA from 1 species